UUAACACAUGCAAGUCGAGCGCCUCACUUCGGUGAGGAGCGGCGAACGGGUAACACGUGGGUAACCUGCCUUAGAGCCUGGAAUAACUCCGCGAAAGCGGAGCUAAUGCCGGAUAAGCUCACGACACGAGAGUGUCGCGGGAAAAGAUUUAUCACUCUAAGAUGGGCCCGCGUCCCAUCAGCUAGUUGGCGGUGUAAAGGACCACCAAGGCGACGACGGGUAGCUGGUCUGAGAGGACGAUC
rnacentral:rRNA from 1 species